CUGCUCUACUCUACUCCACUUUUAUCCCAGCCAUAGCAGCAGUUGGAGCAUGUUAGCCAAUUAAGGCAGCGUGAGCAUGAGGAGAGCGAGCAGGAGAAGGAGAAGGAGGCAGGGCACCUACGGUCGGCUCCUUCUCCAGAACCACGCGGCGGGAAAGGAGGUUAGAGGACUUUUUCUUCUUGGGACGCCGCAUCCAUGGAGCUCCGACCCCAUUGCCACUGCCAUACAUGGAGCUCUGGCCCAUGGCCAACAGCUCAAGUGUUUUCCUCGCACACGUUGGUGCGACACAGAGCCACCGUGGGGAUUCCUUCCACUACGACGUCUCCUGGUUUCUCCUCCGGUGCCCCCGUUCUUCUUCCACUUCAGCAAGUGGUGCACGACAGAGCCAGUUGUGUUUGGUGUGCGCAGGUUGGAUUCUUCUUCCACUCCGGAAAUCUGGUCUAUCCUGUUUCCAUGGCAAAGGAGAUGAUGCCCUUUGUGGAAACCGCUGACGCACGUGUUGCUCUCCAGAGAUUGCGAAGGCGACCAGUGGUUCUAGUGCUAAAGGGUUGCAACCAAACCUUUCAGAAAUGAUAUAUAGAUUCUAGAACGGACCGAGGCACCAUGUGAACUCGACCACUACUGUGUGAUUCCCGAGACAGAGUUCGAGCAGCUACUGGUUGACCAAGUGAGGAUGAUGUUGCGGUCGAUGAUGGCAGGAUCAGCGUCUUGGGAUACGACACCACGUCGGUCGCUCUUGUUCCACGUCUUGAUGACGGUGACAGCCUCAAGUUUCCCACCACGCUCUGGUCGAUUCUCGAUAACAAGCUCCCAGACGGCUCCUGGGGAGACGCUGCCCUGUUCCCCGCCUAUGACCGGGUCACCAACACCCUUACCUGUGUCGUGGCUCUCAUAAAGUGGUCUCUUGGCCAUGGUAAAUGCAGGAGAGGAUUGCAAAUGUAGCUUGUCUCCGACGAUGGGGCCGAGAACCGCAGGCUACGUACCCUAUGCAUCGCUGCUUUGACUGACCUAUCUCCCUGCGUCGGCAACCGCUUCUCUGAUGGAUGGGUUCAUCACAGGGACUCGUCAUGGCGCGCUUCAUCAACACCAAGAGGAGACCCCUUCAUCUUCAUGGCCGGCCCUCAAGCAAAGCAAAGGGAGGGGAUCGAAAUCGUCCAUGGACGGACGCGCUGAUGGGGACCUGAUGGAGACAGAGAAGGACCACGAGGAGGUGGCGUGGGUCGACCCUGGCGGUUGGCUCCUCCAGAACCACGUGG